rnacentral:rRNA from 1 species
UACGAAGGGGGCUAGCGUUGUUCGGAAUUACUGGGGGUAAAGCGUGCGCAGGCGGCUUCUCAAGUCAGGGGUGAAAGCCCAGAGCUCAACUCUGGAAUUGCCUUUGAGACUGAGUGGCUUGAGUACGAGAGAGGUGAGUGGAAUUCCCAGUGUAGAGGUGAAAUUCGUAGAUAUUGGGAAGAACACCGGUGGCGAAGGCGGCUCACUGGCUCGUAACUGACGCUCAUGCACGACAGCGUGGGGAUCAAACAGG